rnacentral:rRNA from 1 species
UACGAACUGUGCGAACGUUAUUCGGAAUCACUGGGCUUACAGGGUGCGUAGGCGGCUUUGCAAGUCAGGUGUGAAAGCCCCCGGCUCAACCGGGGAAUUGCGCUUGAAACUGCAGGGCUCGAGUCAGCUAGAGGUGCACGGAACUUCCAGUGGAGCGGUGAAAUGUGUUGAUAUUGGAAGGAACACCGGAGGCGAAAGCGGUGCACUGGGGCUGGUCUGACGCUGAGGCACGAAAGCCAGGGGAGCGAACGGG